GGGGGAUAUUGCGCAAUGGGGGCAACCCUGACGCAGCAACGCCGCGUGAAGGAUGAAGGUUUUCGGAUUGUAAACUUCUUUUAUUAAGGACGAAAAAUGACGGUACUUAAUGAAUAAGCUCCGGCUAACUACGUGCCAGCAGCCGCGGUAAUAUGUAGGGAGCAAGCGUUGUCCGGAUUUACUGGGUGUAAAGGGUGCGUAGGCGGCUUUGCAAGUCAGAUGUGAAAUCUAUGGGCUCAACCCAUAAACUGCAUUUGAAACUGUAGAGCUUGAGUGAAGUAGAGGCAGGCGGAAUUCCCCGUGUAGCGGUGAAAUGCGUAGAGAUGGGGAGGAACACCAGUGGCGAAGGCGGCCUGCUGGGCUUUAACUGACGCUGAGGCACGAAAGCGUGGGUAGCAAACAGGAUUAGAUACCCUGGUAGUCCACGCUGUAAACGAUGAUUACUAGGUGUGGGGGGUCUGACCCCUUCCGUGCCGGAGUUAACACAAUAAGUAAUCCACCUGGGGAGUACGGCCGCAAGGUUGAAACUCAAAGGAAUUGACGGGGGCCCGCACAAGCAGUGGAGUAUGUGGUUUAAUUCGAAGCAACGCGAAGAACCUUACCAGGUCUUGACAUCCAACUAACGAAGUAGAGAUACAUUAGGUGCCCUUCGGGGAAAGUUGAGACAGGUGGUGCAUGGUUGUCGUCAGCUCGUGUCGUGAGAUGUUGGGUUAAGUCCCGCAACGAGCGCAACCCUUGCUAUUAGUUGCUACGCAAGAGCACUCUAAUAGGACUGCCGUUGACAAAACGGAGGAAGGUGGGGACGACGUCAAAUCAUCAUGCCCCUUAUGACCUGGGCUACACACGUACUACAAUGGAUGUUAACAGAGGGAAGCAAGACAGCGAUGUGGAGCAAACCCCUAAAAACAUUCUCAGUUCAGAUUGCAGGCUGCAACCCGCCUGCAUGAAGAUGGAAUUGCUAGUAAUCGCGGAUCAGCAUGCCGCGGUGAAUACGUUCCCG
rnacentral:rRNA from 1 species